GCGCGCGGGGGACGUGGCUGCGGCGCGGGACCCACCGCCCGCGCGGCUGGGAGCGGAGGGGAGGGCCGCGCAGCCCGCAACUCACCUCGGCGCCCACUUGCCGCGCGAGCCCGCAUUCCGCCCCGGCCUGACGCUCCCUCUGCAGCUGCUGCGGGAGAAGCAGACGACGAGAGUCAAGUUUAUCCGCCCCGGUGCCGCCUCAGCCUCCCUCCCCCGCAUCCAGCAACUCCGCGCGCCCGCCCCUGUACCUCGGCCGCGGCAGGAGCUCACGGUCCCUAGGAACUCUGAUCCAAAGCGUUCAAUACUGAUGAGCUGAACAGCGUCCAGCUUAAAGGGACCGUCCUUGAGGGUACGCUUUGUUGACAUCCCAUAUACUGUCUUAGAAGAAAGAAAAGUCAAGAUCAAGUGCAAGGACUCAGUCCCAGGACUGAAGUCCAUCUUCCACAGAGGGGCCAGCGUGGUCUUUCCAAAGGUGCUUCAAGUCCUAGCACUGGGCUGUGCUGAAGGCGCCUCCCUUCUCUCCUUUGCCAGACUUCUGUCCAAUUACUAAAAACGCUGCGUUGGCAUUUAGUAGAUGCUCAGUAAAUACAUUAACUAAGUGAGCAGAAAGAAGAAGGAAGAAACGGAACAGUGGAACAUGAAACUUAGGUGGAGGAGAGCUUGUCCCUGCUAAUGCAUCUGGAAAAGCAGUGGAAGAUGGACCCUGCACCCACGUGGGAGACCCAGAGGAAGCUCCUGGCUCCUGGCUCCUGGCUUCAGUCUCGCCCAGACCUCACCAUCACAGCCAUUUGAAGAGGGAACCAGUGGAUGGAAGACCUCUCUCUUGCUGACUCUGCCUCUUCCUCCCUGUAACUCCAUCUUUCAAAU